GAAUCCUCGGGGCGGCUUGGUUCUUCUGGAAGGAGGGAAGAGGAGUUCGGGGGUGGGGGUGCUGGGGGUGGUCCCCCGCCGCGGCCCCGCCGACGGACGAUGCUGGCGCCCGCACGCGGGAUUCAAGCGCUCAGACCCAGAUUCAGGGAUGGAGACAUCGAGAUUGUGGAGGCUCCCUGAAGUGCAGUCCACGAAGUGGGUGAAUUGCUUUUGUUCCGCUCCUUCCGAGGCUCGCCCACCCGAGGCAGACACAUCUACCCAGUUCUGGCAGGGACGCGCUCCAGGGCGGUGUAGGGGGCCUCGGAGUUGCCACCAAGCCUGCAGACGAGAGGAUCCUUCGCUUCGGACUCUGAAUUCAGCGCCUGUACCGGACGCUGGAAAAACCGAGUUGGGAGCGCCAAGUGAGAUCGCCUGGGGCUCUGUCUCCCCUCUGACUUGAAAUCUCGCUGGAACGUUCACACCUAAUAAAUACAGUCUUUUACUUAAGCCA
rnacentral:lncRNA from 1 species